rnacentral:rRNA from 1 species
GACGAACGCUGGCGGCGUGCUUAACACAUGCAAGUCGAACGCUGAAGCACCAGCUUGCUGGUGUGGAUGAGUGGCGAACGGGUGAGUAAUACGUGAGUAACCUGCCCUUGACUCUGGGAUAAGCCCGGGAAACUGGGUCUAAUACUGGAUGCUACAUGUCACCGCAUGGUGGUGUGUGGAAAGGGUUUACUGGUCUUGGAUGGGCUCACGGCCUAUCAGCUUGGUGGUGAGGUAAUGGAUCACCAAGGCGACGACGGGUAGCCGGCCUGAGAGGGUGACCGGCCACACUGGGACUGAGACACGGCCCAGACUCCUACGGGAGGCAGCAGUGGGGAAUAUUGCACAAUGGGCGAAAGCCUGAUGCAGCGACGCCGCGUGAGGGAUGACGGCCUUCGGGUUGUAAACCUCUUUCAGCAGGGAAGAAGCCACAAGUGACGGUACCUGCAGAAGAAGCGCCGGCUAACUACGUGCCAGCAGCCGCAGUAA